rnacentral:rRNA from 1 species
AUACGGAGGGCGCAAGCGUUACUCGGAAUCACUGGGCGUAAAGGAUGCGUAGGCGGAUAAUCAAGUCAAAAGUGAAAUCCCACGGCUUAACCGUGGAACUGCUUUCGAAACUGGUUAUCUAGAAUAUGGAAGAGGCAGAUGGAAUUAGUGGUGUAGGGGUAAAAUCCGUAGAGAUCACUAGGAAUACCGAUUGCGAAGGCGAUCUGCUGGGACAUUAUUGACGCUGAGGCAUGAAAGCGUGGGGAGCAAACAGGAUUAGAAACCCGAGUAGUCC